CAACAAAUAGUUUAUUUUAAAAUAUAAUUUUUGGGUAAUUAAGAUGGAUUUUUCUUUUGUUGA
rnacentral:tRNA from 1 species